UACGUAGGCAGCGAGCGUUGUUCGGAGUUACUGGGCGUAAAGCGUGCGUAGGCGGUGUCUUAAGUUUGUUUGUGAAAUCUCCCGGCUUAACCGGGAGGGUGCGGCGAAUACUGAGAUACUGGAGUGCCGGAGAGGUAAGCGGAAUUCCUGGUGUAGCGGUGAAAUGCGUAGAUAUCAGGAGGAACACCUGCGGUGUAGACGGCUUCUGGACG
rnacentral:rRNA from 1 species